GGACGGUCCAGAUUGCACGUGUGCGGACAGCCCAGAUUGAAUCACGUAGGAUGGCCCAGAUCGCAUCGCGAUGGAUGGCCCAAAUUCAUUUCUAAUUUAAUCGUGAUCGGACGGUCCAGAUUAAAUUGUGAUAGACGGCUCAGAUUAAAAGUGGAAGGUUAUAAAUAACCUCAUCCACACCCAAACCCAAACCCUAGCCGCCAGAGCUCUCGUCGGAGAAGAAAACCCAGCCACUGAAGGAACCGACCGCCGCCACCCGCC
rnacentral:lncRNA from 1 species